rnacentral:lncRNA from 12 species
AUGCGUGUACGCAGGGCGAGCCGCUGUCCGUCGCCGGGCUCUGCACCUGCGACGCCCGCCCUGUCUCCCUGCGAGCCCCGGGGCUGCCCGGGCAGGAGGCCCGCCGGCCCCGUCCCCCGGGACCCACGGACAAAUCAGGGGCGAGUGAGCCUGGGCGGCGGGGGAUGUCCAUCGGGCUCCGGGCUGGCGCCAGUUAAGGAACCGCGGACGCCGGAGGUUGACAGGCCUUCGGGGUCACACGGGCCUCCGGGGAGGGGCCUGGGACACACGGGCCGGGCAGCGGGCUGGGCUUCAGAGCCAGCAGCAGAGCACGGUUGCGGUGUGGGUGCCCACGCUCGUGCAAGGACAUCCACGCCCACAGGCACGGGUGUGAGCCUGGCUGCAGCCAGGAGAGGGACUCCCCCAGGCCGCCGCGAGCCGGGAGGGCCGUGGGGCGAGCCUCCGCCUUCCCCGGGCCUGGACAUGCCCAGGCAUCAGGAGGACGGGCUCCUCUCCCGGGCCCGGCUCGGCGCUGCGUGAUUUCACCGGACCCCGCGGCCCCGUCCAGCCCCCCUCGCCGGGCGCCCCCCGGCUCACGCCCAGCCGUCGGCACAGCCGGGGGGUCAGGCCGUGCCCACGUUUGGGAGAAGAGCCAGGCUGAGGGCGGGAGGGCUGCAGCCCGAGGCCACCCACCCUAGAAGCCGCUCCUGGCUGCCGCGGCGGCUGGCGGCCUUUCCUGCCGAGUUUGUGAACAGGCCUGGGCAGGGGCCCCGAGCUGCCGGAAGUCUCCGGGGGGCGGGGGCGGGGGCGGGGGGUGCUUCCUCCCGCCCCAGGCCGUACCCCACCACCUUCCCAGGAGGGAAGCCGCGGGCACGCAAGUGUGAGCCAGGGCGGGCACGGCCUCCCCUGUGUCCUCUGCAAGGGGGCGCAGGGCCUGGGCUGUGGUGCUGGGGAGGCUGCGGUGGGGCGCACGCGGGCUCUCCCCGCAGGAAUCCCGUGGGGGGGUCUAGGAGCCCUGCGGGGCCAGCUCAGCCCCAUCCCCUCCUCUGCCCCUGGCCUCGGGGUCACCCCCUAGCUCCUGGCUGGCUCGCCUUCCUGGCACACACACCCCCUCCCACCAAGUAGGUCUCCCUAUGCCCACCCACAGCAUGGGGGUGGGUCACCCGCCUCCCUGGGGCCGUGGCCGUGCCGCCCCGCGUCCCCGGGCAUCCCCCAGCCACCCACGCUCCGGGGCUCCCCCCAAGCCUGGGCAGGCCUCAGCGGUACGUGACUCCAGGCGCCUCCCGCAGGCCAGGCCUGGCCGGGUGCCGGGGGUCGGGAGGGCACCAGCGUCCCCACGGCAGGCCCGGGCCGCGCAUACACCAGAAGGUUCUCGUCUGGAAGCUCGGGGUUCCGGUGUGGGCCGAGCAGAGUGUGCCCCGGGCCUCCCCACGCCUCCGGCUGCUGCCCGCCCCGGGCGUCCUCUGUCUCUGCGUCUUCGCGUGGGUUCUCCUCCUCGUCAGGGGCCCACCCAGCUCCGUGGGACCCGGCCUUCCCCAGU